rnacentral:rRNA from 1 species
UACGUAGGGGGCUAGCGUUGUCCGGAAUCAUUGGGCGUAAAGCGCGUGUAGGCGGUCCGGUAAGUCCGCUGUGAAAGUCGGGGGCUCAACCCUCGAAUGCCGGUGGAUACUGUCGGGCUAGAGUGCGGAAGAGGCGAGUGGAAUUCCUGGUGUAGCGGUGAAAUGCGCAGAUAUUAGGAGGAACACCAAUUGCGAAGGCAGCUCGCUGGGACGUUACUGACGCUGAGACGCGAAAAGCGUGGGGAGCAAACAGG